AAACUACUUCCUCCGUUCCAUAAUUCUUGUCUCAAAUUUGUCCAAAAAUGGAUGUAUCUAUUCCUAAAAAGCGUCUAGAUACAUGUAAUAUUUCGACAAGAAUUAUGUAACGGAGGGAGUACAAG
rnacentral:pre_miRNA from 1 species